rnacentral:rRNA from 1 species
ACGAACGCUGGCGGCGUGCUUAACACAUGCAAGUCGAACGGAAAGGCCCUGCUUUUGUGGGGUGCUCGAGUGGCGAACGGGUGAGUAACACGUGAGUAACCUGCCCUUGACUUUGGGAUAACUUCAGGAAACUGGGGCUAAUACCGGAUAGGAGCUCCUGCUGCAUGGUGGGGGUUGGAAAGUUUCGGCGGUUGGGGAUGGACUCGCGGCUUACCAGCUUGUUGGUGGGGUAGUGGCUUACCAAGGCUUUGACGGGUAGCCGGCCUGAGAGGGUGACCGGCCACAUUGGGACUGAGGUACGGCCCAGACUCCUACGGGAGGCAGCAGUGGGGAAUAUUGCACAAUGGGUGGAAGCCUGAUGCAGCAACGCCGCGUGCGGGAUGACGGCCUUCGGGUUGUAAACCGCUGUCGCCUGUGACGAAGCGUGAGUGACGGUAAUGGGUAAAGAAGCACCGGCUAACUACGUG